GCAGGUGAGGGCAAUCUGGCUGAAACAUCUUCUACCCUAUUAGGUGCCAGAGUUUAUUUGGUGAUCCGGUGAUCUGGCUGGCUGAGAAGGUGUUUCCUUCUUUCUCACUACUUCAUCUUUGUUAAUGCCUGACAGAGGAGAACUGGUUUUUGUUUGUUUGUUUGGUUGGUUGGUUGGUUGGGUUUGUUUUUUAAAAAAAAAAUACACAGAUAACUGCCCUACUUUGCAAGAUUUCCACAAAAGCUCUCAAGAGGUAUCACUGAGUGAGCAAUUAAAUGGAUACAAACAGAUUCCAGAGUAUCU
rnacentral:snRNA from 1 species